GCUGCGGGGGAAGGAGGGGGACGAGGUCAGUUGGCCACACGCUGCCCCCCUCUGCCGGGGAUUUCCCAGCUGGCCCCUCCUCUGGUCACUGUCAAGCUCCUCAGCCCUCCAGCCCCUGUGCUGCCACCGGGUUAGAGGAGCAGCCCGGUCCCUCCCUGCUCCUCUGCCACGUCGCCCAGUUUUCUCUCCUCACUGGACUUGUCCUCUGAAAUCACCUUGACCCUUUGAUCUUUGCUGCUGGUUGCCUGAUCCCAUCACUAGAACUGACCCCAGCGUGGCCACCUAAUCAGCCCGUGGGCACAGUGCGGGGACAUAUCCAAUCAACGUGUGCCACCUGUCCCCAUGACACUUGGGUCUUGUUCUCCCCUCUCAGAAACUCCGGCUCUCAGAGACCGUCCCCCCUACAGCUCUGACCCGAAGCAGUCGAGGGCUGGGGGGAGCCAGGAGGAGGCCUGGACCCUGACCCUAGCUCCACUGGCUGGGACCUGGGGUGACUCUUUUGCCCGCUUUGAGCAAACAUCUUCCCCCUCCUCCAGGAAGGUCCCUGCGCGGCCUGGCACCUCCUGACACUGCUCCGGUGCCUCUCAGCUCAACAGAGUUUACCAGGUGGAAAGCUCCAGAACCCUGGCAGGGAGGGCUUCCCGGGGUUGAAUGGCCUGGGGAGGACUCCCCUGACCUGCUCCCCAGGCCACCUCAGCCAGGUUGACAGGUGAACAAACCAGAGGUGCCCAGGGGCCCUCCCCGUCCCCUUUGAAGACGCCCUGCCCCUCUGCCCUCCGUGGUCUUGGGCUUCUGGGGGCCCGGGACACACCCAUGCUCACGCUGCCUAACCCGAGCCCCACUCCCCAGCUCAUUCCCACACAGCCUUCCCGGGUAGGGGCGGUUACUGUGCCACCUCACAGAAGAUGAGGCUGAGGCCCAGGCAGAUGAUGUCACCUGCCUAAGGUCACAGAACUGGAAUUUGACCCUGGACUGCCCAGGUGGCAAAACGUGGGCUUCUGACCACCUCUGUUCCUGGCCCCUGUGGUCUAAAGAGCUGGGCUGGACUGGGGCUGCCCACCCCCUGUCCCCUUCUCUGCCUACACCCCAGGGCUGGGAGGCAGGUGACCACGGAGGCAUUCCCGAGGACAGCACUCACCUCCAGGGAAGAGGGUGUCUGCGUUCUGGAUCAGCGCCUCGACCACGCCCACCACCUGGAUGGAAGACACGGAGGCCGCGUCCAGCUGGGCCUGGUCCCUGGCACAACACGGGGGAUGCAGAGGGUCAUCCACUAGGUAUCAUUUCAGUGGCCCCAACUCUGGCCCUGUGCUGGGCACUGGGGACAUACAGAUGAAGUCCCAAUUCUCAGAAAGCUCAGAGACCAUCCGUUGAAGGCAAACGGAUCACUUCCCUGUUCUUCACCCAUGACAGACAUCACUAGUCGAUCACGGGCCCCUUCCCCACAAGUCUUGGGUCCACACAAUCGAUUUCAGUACUUGGGACGAAAUCUUUGUGCUGUCUGUGGCCCCUUAUGUAAUGAUGAUUCUUCUCCUGUCAGCACUUUACAGUUUAUAAAACAUUUCCCAUUCAUUAUCUCAUCUAGUUCCCCCAAUAAAACCUUGGAAGUCUGUAUAAUUUCUCCCCAGUUGGCAGACAGGGAAGUGGAGGUCCACAGGGUAACUUCCCAAGGCCCAUCUGGACGGUGGGGUGGAGAGAGAACAGGAGCUCUGGACUCCCAGCUGCAGCACCAGGCUGUCAACCACCCAUCACCGCCAGUCCCCAGAAUGCCUGUUUCCAAAGCUCUGUGGGGUCCCUAGUCCCUUUGGGCUUCUCCUCACAGCAGACUUGGGAAUAGGAGAUGCUCAACCCACUCCAUGGUGGGGAAACUGAGGCCCAGCAAGGUAAACAGCAGGUGGCUGGGGAGGGGACUGCUCCCUCCUGGUCCCCCGGCCCUUGGCCCUCACCCUUCCUUCUCAGGCGGCCACAGUAGGUUGGGCCCCAGGACGAUGGCGAUGUUGCUGGGCGUCAUCUUGUUCACCUCCUGCUCCUCGGCCAGCCGUGCCAGGAACUUCAUCAGGUACCUGGGGCAGGAGGUUGGCUUGGGCCGGGCAGAGCAUCUUGGGCCACGGACACCCACGGAUGCCCCUAAGUCCCGAGGACUUCCCAGCCCAGGGUUUCCAAACAGGGGGCUUCACAGGGUUUUUGUUGUCUCACUCUUACAGUCCUGGGGGUUGAACCCAGGGGCGCUCUGCCACCGAGCCACGUCCCCAGCCCUUUUUAGUUUUUAUUUAGAGACUGGGUCUUACUAAGGUGCUUAGAGCCUUGCUAAGUUGCCGAGGCUGGCUUUGAACCUGAGAUCCUCCUGCCUCAGCCUCCUGAGCCACUAGGAUCACAGGUGUGCGCCACUGCGCCUGGCUGAUUUUAAACAUUUUAAUAGUUUAGCUGGCCCAACUGUGUUGGCAAGGGCUAGGAUGAGAGUCCUCCCAGCUACCCUUGAGGCAGGGACUUAAUGACCAGGUGCUGACACCAAGUUUCUUGCCCAGGGCCAGCAGUGGCAGGGGCGUGGCUUAGGGGUGUAGGAUUCGUUUAUUUCAAUAAUAGUAUUAAAAUAUAUGUAUGUCCAGUACACCUAAGCUGUUUUCAGAACUACUGCCUGGGACACAGUGACAGACCUGGACGGAGGCCCGGGGCUCCUGAGUCCCAGCUAGUCUCUGGGACUAGACUCAACUUGGGGACGGCCAGAGGUGGAGGUGGCCCAGGCUCACCUGAGGUUGCUGAGGUUCUCCUGGGGCAGGCGGUGACAGGCUUCUCGGAGGGCCUCCAGCCGGGCCGCAGGCUCCUUUAGGCUGAGGAGGGAGAGCAGCCGGUGAGCCCAAGGCUGAGCCUCUGUAGCCGCCUCCUCUCCACCCCAAGUCCUCACCUGGCUGCCCUCAUCCAGUCAUCGUAGAGGUCAAAGGUCAUCAGGGGCUCUGGCAGCUCCCGAAGAUAGGACUUGAGGGCACCUGGCAGGAGCAGGGGCUCCCUCCAGCAGGCACCUGCCACGGCGUGGGGGUCUGAGCAGAACGCCUCCAGGCCGCGGGGGUCCGAGGCCAUCGUCUGCUUGAGGCGCUUCAGCACCGAGGCCCCAGCGGCCAGACGGAAGAGGCCCUGCGGGGCAAGAGCAGCAGCUCAGCCAGGGCUGUGUCCAGUGAAGACAGUGACCUGCGAUGAUAAUCAGCCUGAAUCUCCAGGAGCUGUGGGGACAGACAGACAUCCCCGAGGGAAGUGAGGGAAGCUGAGAAAGAUCCACAGAGCGGAUCCCCUGCCUCACCGCAGGCCCUGGCCCUUCCUCCACCCGCCGAGCGGCAGAUGGCGAAGCCGGGCCUCGGACUCACAUGAAUGAAGUAGUUGGCAUAUGAGUCCUCCUUGGUGGCAAAGUGGUACAGAUCCGCCAAGUACUCAUCCUUGGGACAGAGAGGGGAAGGCGUAUGCCAGAUGAAGCUGGGGCAAUCGGCCCGUCACUCACUCAUCAGCAAACCUCUUUGCCUCCAUUUCCCCCUUGCAAAAUAGAGCCAAACGGUCUCCCUCCAAGGGCUGGAGGGUCAUUAA